rnacentral:rRNA from 1 species
UAGGGAAUGUUGGACAAUGGGGGCAACCCUGAUCCAGCCAUGCCGCGUGAGUGAAGAAGGCCCUCGGGUUGUAAAGCUCUUUUGUCCGGAAAGAAAAGCUUCGGGUUAAUACCCCGGGGUUCUGACGGUACCGGAAGAAUAAGCACCGGCUAACUUCGUGCCAGCAGCCGCGGUAAUACGAAGGGUGCAAGCGUUACUCGGAAUUACUGGGCGUAAAGCGUGCGUAGGUGGUUGUUUAAGUCUGAUGUGAAAGCCCUGGGCUCAACCUGGGAAUGGCAUUGGAAACUGGGCAGCUAGAGUGCGGUAGAGGGUAGUGGAAUUCCCGGUGUAGCAGUGAAAUGCGUAGAGAUCGGGAGGAACAUCUGUGGCGAAGGCGACUGCCUGGACCAGCACUGACACUGAGGCACGAAAGCGUGGGGAGCAAACA